rnacentral:rRNA from 1 species
GACGAACGCUGGCGGCGCGCUUAACACAUGCAAGUCGAACGGAAAGGCCUGCUUUCCCUUGUGGAUUGCGGGUACUCGAGUGGCGAACGGGUGAGUAACACGUGAGUGAUCUGCCCCCAACUUGGGUAUAAGCCUGGGCAACUGGGUCUAAUUCCCGCUAGGACUGCAGGGUGGUGCGUGUGGUGGCAAACGAUUUUCUAGUGGUUGGGGAUGAGCUGGCGGCUUAUCAGCUUGUUGGUGGGGUAAUGGCCUACCGAGGCGGCGACGGGUAGGCGGCCUGGGGGAGUGGGCGGGAAAGGUGGACCGGCGAUACGGCGAAGGCUACUACGGGAAGAAGCAGUGGGGAAGAUUGAGCAAUGGGCGGAAGACUAAUGCAGCGACGCCGAGUGAGGAAUGACGGGCUUCGGGUUGUAAACUCCUGGCGACCGCGAGGAAGCCACCUGGUUGGAAGGGUGGUGACGGUAGUGGGAGAAGAAGCACCGGCUAACUACGUG